rnacentral:rRNA from 1 species
UACGUAGGGGGCGAGCGUUGUCCGGAUUUAUUGGGCGUAAAGAGCUCGUAGGCGGUUCGAUAAGUCGGACGUGAAAUCUCCACGCUCAACGUGGAGGGGCCGUUCGAUGCUGUCGUGACUCGAGUCCGGUAGGGGAGUGUGGAAUUCCCGGUGUAGCGGUGAAAUGCGCAGAGAUCGGGAGGAACACCCGUAGCGAAGGCGGCACUCUGGGCCGGUACUGACGCUGAGGAGCGAAAGCGUGGGGAGCAAACAGG